AGUAUGACGAGUGGUGCUCCGG
rnacentral:siRNA from 1 species